rnacentral:rRNA from 1 species
GUGGUCCUACGGGAGGCAGCAGUGGGGAAUAUUGCACAAUGGGGGAAACCCUGAUGCAGCGACGCCGCGUGAGUGAAGAAGUAUUUCGGUAUGUAAAGCCCUAUCAGCAGGGAAGAAAAAAGACGGUACCUGACUAAGAAGCCCCGGCUAACUACGUGCCAGCAGCCGCGGUAAUACGUAGGGGGCGAGCGUUAUCCGGAUUUACUGGGUGUAAAGGGGGCGCAGACGGCCAUAGCAAGCCCGGUGUGAAAGGUG